UACGAAGGGGGCUAGCGUUGUUCGGAAUCACUGGGCGUAAAGGGCGUGUAGGCGGCUGUUGAAGUCGGGGGUGAAAGCCUGUGGCUCAACCACAGAAUUGCCUUCGAUACUGGACGGCUGGAGACCGGAAGAGGUCAGUGGAACUGCGAGUGUAGAGGUGAAAUUCGUAGGUAUUCGCAAGAACACCAGUGGCGAAGGCGGCUGACUGGUCCGGUUCUGACGCUGAGGCGCGAAAGCGUGGGGAGCAAACAGG
rnacentral:rRNA from 1 species